GACGAAGGAUCCAAGCGUUAUCCGGAUUUAUUGGGUUUAAAGGGUGCGUAGGCGGAUUGAUAAGUCAGUGGUGAAAGCCUGCAGCUUAACUGCAGAACUGCCAUUGAUACUGUCAAUCUUGAAUGUGGUUGAUGUGGGCGGAAUAUGACAUAUAGCGGUGAAAUGCUUAGAUAUGUCAUAGAACACCGAUUGCGAAGGCAGCUCACAAAGCCAUUAUUGACGCUGAGGCACGAAAGCGUGGGGAUCAAACAGG
rnacentral:rRNA from 1 species